UGGGGAAUAUUGCACAAUGGGCGAAAGCCUGAUGCAGCAACGCCGCGUGCGGGAUGACGGCCUUCGGGUUGUAAACCGCUUUCAGCAGGGACGAAGGUUUUCUGACGGUACCUGCAGAAGAAGCACCGGCUAACUACGUGCCAGCAGCCGCGGUGAUACGUAGGGUGCGAGCGUUGUCCGGAAUUAUUGGGCGUAAAGAGCUUGUAGGCGGUCCGUUGCGUCGGAAGUGAAAACUCAGGGCUUAACCCUGAGCCUGCUUUCGAUACGGGCGGACUUGAGGGAUGUAGGGGAGAACGGAAUUCCUGGUGGAGCGGUGGAAUGCGCAGAUAUCAGGAGGAACACCAGUGGCGAAGGCGGUUCUCUGGACAUUUCCUGACGCUGAGAAGCGAAAGCGUGGGGAGCAAACAGGCUUAGAUACCCUGGUAGUCCACGCCGUAAACGGUGGGCACUAGGUGUGGGACCCAUUCCACGGGUUCCGUGCCGUAGCUAACGCAUUAAGUGCCCCGCCUGGGGUAGUACGGCCGCAAGGCUAAAACCUCAAAUGAAUUGACGGGGUCAUGAGCUGUUUCCCUG
rnacentral:rRNA from 1 species